UGGGGAAUAUUGGACAAUGGGGGGAACCCUGAUCCAGCCAUGCCGCGUGUGUGAAGAAGGCCUUAUGGUUGUAAAGCACUUUAAGCGAGGAGGAGGGUACUGGUAUUAAUACUACCAGCUACUGGACGUUACUCGCAGAAUAAGCACCGGCUAACUCUGUGCCAGCAGCCGCGGUAAUACAGAGGGUGCAAGCGUUAAUCGGAAUUACUGGGCGUAAAGCGCGCGUAGGUGGUUCGUUAAGUUGAAUGUGAAAGCCCCGGGCUCAACCUGGGAACUGCAUCCAAAACUGGCGAGCUAGAGUAGGGCAGAGGGUGGUGGAAAUUCCUGUGUAGCGGUGAAAUGCGUAGAUAUAGGAAGGAACACCAGUGGCGAAGGCGACCACCUGGGCUCAUACUGACACUGAGGUGCGAAAGCGUGGGGAGCAAACAGG
rnacentral:rRNA from 1 species